CCCCCAGGCGUGCUGGAAGAUGGACUGUCCUCCAAUGGUGUGCCCCGAUCUACAGUCCCAGGUGGAAUACCCAAUCCAGAGAAGAAGACGAACUGUGAGACCCAGUGCCCAAAUCCCCAGAGCCUCAGCUCAGGCCCUCUGACCCAGAAACAGAAUGGCCUUCAGACCACAGAGGCUAAAAGAGAUGCUAAGAGAAUGUCUGCAAAAGAAGUCACCAUUAAUGUAACAGACAGCAUCCAACAGAUGGACAGAAGUCGAAGAAUCACAAAGAACUGUGUCAACUAGCAGAGAGUCCAAGCAGAAGGGUAGAUGGACUUCUUCUGUGUCCUUCAAGGCACUGGAUACCAUCAAAGAACCUUGAAGAAGUGGCUGCCCCUUGCUGGACCUGAAUGCUACUGAGUCCCUGGCAAGACUGUCUUACCUGGCAGCAAACUGCUGCCUGAUUUGUUGGGACCCUUCUGAGCCUUCUACUUAUCAUGUAAAUGUAUUGGCAUAGUGCUUACAUAUGUUAAUAAACUGCAAAUGUGCAGUUCAGUUUGUCUCUUUGCAACUCCUAUAAUAGGGUCUGGUGUAAAAGUAGUGAGUUAAAACUACAGGUCAGUUAUGAAACAGAAAAGUAGGAAUGCAUUUCCUGGGUGAAAGAGUCACACCUUAGUACUAAACUCUCCUGCUCAUUAUAGUGUGUUCUGUUUCAGGCAAGCUUAUUCUUUCCUUCUUUCAUUUUAAAUAUUAUCAUUACAAAUCUUACCAGGGUCACUUAAAAGCUGGCUUCCAUCCAACUCUAAACCCACAUAUUGAAAAAAUCAAGGUAGAGAAAAACUCCUUGUUAUCCUUGUUUCCUUAGCUUCGUAUGAGACAGAUCAGAUCCAGUUUCCCAUGGAUCAACCCACUGCCCAUAGCAUGUCUUUGGGAGGUGUCUGUGAAGCAGUUAUACCUGCUCCUCAUCUGCCUGGAAAGUCCUCCUAUUCUGAUGUCCACGUUGGCCUCCAGUCCUUAAUGUCACCAUGCUUGUGGCCAAUGCAUCCAAAUAAGGAUACCCCUCAGGGCUCAGCCAGACAUUGCAAUUUUACAUAGCUUUCCAGUUUCCUUUGCUUGUCUUCUUAACUGUCUUCCCUCUCUAUUGGGGUCAUUUGCAAUUGUUAAUCAAAGAUUGAACACUGCGUAGGAGAAGGAGAUGAUCCAGAGACAUGUGGCAGCAUGCAUGGCUUCACCUUGGUCUCUCUGUUCACCACCCCAGGACUGUCAUUUUGGCAUCUACAAAGGAAUCACUUUAGAAAGCCAGCACCUGGUUGAUGUGUAUUCACACUGACAUUAGAUUGAUGUGCACUGCAUUAGAAAUGAAGUAGCUGACACAGAAAAAGGAUGUUUUGAUAGGAAUAAUUUUCUAGUAUGUCUUGAAAUGUUCAUCUGGAUGUAUUUUCCUCCAAACUAAUGUAGCAGGAUUUUUCAAGGAUUGUUAACAUGCCUGGGAUUGGGAAAGAUAGGACUAAAGUUGUACCAAACUAUACCAAUAAAUUCCAUGUUUAGCAGAAAUAGGCAGCCUAAUGAUGUUAUGUUUAUAUAACAUAGUCCGGAGAACUGACAUGCAGGUCAAAAGUCAGAUACACAACCUCCUUAUCUGCUAACUCUGUUAUUCUUCAAACACAAGUGGGUAGUGUCAUUUUUCCUUCCUUCCUUCCAUUGGCAGAUUGCAUAUUUAUUCAAUAAACAUUAAAUGUCCAUCCUGUGCCAGGUACUAUGCAGAUGUUGAGGGAUUUGGAGUCUGGUUAGCCAUUACUGUCUAUCCUGAAUCUAACAGUGACUUCAUAACUAGGAGACUGAAUUAGACCCUUAAGGUAUAGCGUGUGUUGCAAAUCACUCAGCAAUGGAAUCUUUUAUAUUCAGGGUAGGUUUGUGUCUUAAACUAGGUGUUCUAAUCACUGUACAAGACUUUACCAUACACAAAACUAUAGUUUUUCUAAACCUUUAUCAUUUUGUGAUUCUUUGAGAAAGGGCUUUUAGGAACUUUAUGUUCUAAAAAAAUUGUCUUAAUAAUAAUAAAAUAAAAGCAAAACCUGUGACUCAUAUGUCCCCACUGACAUUACUCAGCAGGAGCCCCCAGCUGCCAAAGGUUGGCAGUGAUCCUGCGAGUUCAAGGGCUCUUUCUCCCUGGGGAUGUGCUUUGUGGCUUCUCUUUACAGCUUUGUUUCUGCAUCAGUUCACUGCUGCAUGUUGUUUGGAAUUUAUCACCGUAAGAAAGUGUCUCUGUUUUAUAUAGAAACACUUUCUCACUUCCAGGGGAGAAGGAAAUGCAGGGCAUAUGAUCUGGCCCUCCCCAGAACAAUCUGGAUUUCAUGGAGACAGCAACCAGAAGUUAAACCGUGUGACUAAAAAUGCAUCUGGCUACUUUUUCAUGUGUAUAUGAUACAGAAACUAAUCCUUACUAUCCUUUUAGGAUAACACUUUCCAUGGCAAAGUUUGUGUCAAUAAAGUCAUUAAUUUUAAACAUA